ensembl:lncRNA protein S100-A15A
GCCAAGUUUGCAAGAGGUCAGGUGGGGAGGGCAGAGAGGGGCCCUUACACAGGUGGGCAGAAGAUUCCUGGAGGAAGCACCCACCUGUUGUGGCCUGGCCUCUGCCUGGCCUGCUCUGCUGUGCUCCCUGCCCCCAGAUUCUCCACUGUCCCCAGUUGCUUCCCCCUGCAUCUCCUGAGUUGCCCCCAUCCUGGGCCCAGGCCCAGCCACCAUGACGGACACACCAGUGGAGGAAUCCCUCUUCCAAAUCAUCCACUGCUACCACGAGUAUGCUGCCCGGGAAGGGGAUGCAGAGACACUGUCGCUGGAGGAGCUGAAGGCUCUGCUCAUGGACAAUGUGCCCCGCUUCAUGGAGACCUUGGCCAGUUGCCAAUGUCAUGCGGCUGUGCAAGGACCCCAGAACCUGCACUGGAGGACUCACUGGGCAAACGUAGCAGCCUGGGCCGUGGUCUGAGAGGAGGGAAGCCGGACGUGCCUGCCCCAGGCUGGAGGCCUCCCGUUUCUCAGGGCCGGAAGGAGCCGUACUACAUCACACAGUUGUUCCGGGCGGCAGACAAGAACCAGGACAACCAGAUCUGCUUUGAGGAGUUCCUCUACAUCUUGGGCAAGCUGGUGAAGGACUACCACUUGCAGUACCACCGGCAGCUGUGUGCCCAUUACUGCACCCAGCACAGCCUCUAUUAGGGGGAGUGCAGGGGCCUGCCUAGGGAGCAGGUGUGACCUAGCUGUGGGCAGCUGAAGACAGAGCUGUGUGUGUGUGUGUGUGUCUGUGUGUGUGCGCAGUGAACGCUGUGAGGGAAGAGAAUAAAGCAACUUUGUAAAGACUUCUGGAUGUUGCU